GACGAACGCUGGCGGCGUGCUUAACACAUGCAAGUCGAACGGAAAGGCCCUGCUUUUGUGGGGUGCUCGAGUGGCGAACGGGUGAGUAACACGUGAGUAACCUGCCCUUGACUUUGUGAUAACUUCAGGAAACUGGGGCUAAUACCCGGUAGGAGCUCCUGCUGCAUGGUGGGGGUUGGAAAGUUUCGGCGGUUGGGGAUGGACUCGCGGCUUAUCAGCUUGUUUGUGGGGUAGUGGCUUACCAAGGCUUUGACGGGUAGCCGGCCUGAGAGGGUGACCGGCCACAUUGGGACUGAGAUACGGCCCAGACUCCUACGGGAGGCAGCAGUGGGGAAUAUUGCACAAUGGGCGGAAGCCUGAUGCAGCAACGCCGCGUGCGGGAUGACGGCCUUCGGGUUGUAAACCGCUUUCGCCUGUGACGAAGCGUGAGUGACGGUAAUGGGUAAAGAAGCACCGGCUAACUACGUG
rnacentral:rRNA from 1 species